rnacentral:rRNA from 1 species
UACGUAGGGGGCAAGCGUUGUCCGGAUUUAUUGGGCGUAAAGAGCGUGUAGGCGGCCAGGUAGGUCAGCUGUGAAAACUCGAGGCUCAACCUCGAGCUGUCGGCUGAAACCAUCUGGCUAGAGUCCGGAAGAGGAGAGUGGAAUUCCUGGUGUAGCGGUGAAAUGCGCAGAUAUCGGGAGGAACACCAGUGGCGAAGGCGACUACCUGGCCUGUUCUUGACGCUGAGGCGCGAAAGCUAGGGGAGCAAACGGG